CGAUCUGCUGGGGGGAGAUGAAAUGGAUAUGGGUGUCCAAAGCGCCUGCGGUCAGGAUCAGCCCCUCACCGGCAAGCGCCUCUGUGGAAGCGCCCACCGUCAUCCCGGGCGUAACGCCGUCCAUCACAGAGGGAUUUCCAGCUUUUCCGAUCCCGGCGAUCCGCCCAUCCUUGAUCCCGAUGUCUGCCUUGUAGAUUCCGGUAUAAUCCAGAACCAGGGCAUUGGUGAUCACCAGAUCCAGGUCGCCGUCCUUGCUGGUGGUACUGACGGACUGUCCCAUGCCGUCCCUC
rnacentral:sRNA from 1 species